rnacentral:rRNA from 1 species
UACGUAGGGUGCGAGCGUUAAUCGGAAUUACUGGGCGUAAAGGGCUCGUAGGCGGCCAACUAAGUCAGACGUGAAAUCCCCAGGCUCAACCUGGGAACUGCGUCUGAUACUGGAUGGCUUGAAUUCGGGAGAGGGAUGCAGAAUUCCAGGUGUAGCGGUGAAAUGCGUAGAUAUCUGGAGGAAUACCGGUGGCGAAGGCGGCAUCCUGGACCGAUAUUGACGCUGAUGAGCGAAAGCUAGGGGAGCAAACGGG